rnacentral:misc_RNA from 1 species
AAGUCGUAACAAGGUCUCCGUUGGUGAACCAGCGGAGGGAUCAUUAUAGAGUUUUCUAAACUCCCAACCCAUGUGAACUUACCAUUGUUGCCUCGGCAGAAGCUACCUGGUUACCCUACCUUGGAACGGCCUACCCUGUAGCGCCUUACCCUGGAACGGCCUACCCUGUAACGGCUGCCGGUGGACUACCAAACUCUUGUUAUUUUAUUGUAAUCUGAGCGUCUUAUUUUAAUAAGUCAAAACUUUCAACAACGGAUCUCUUGGUUCUG